UGAUGUGGUUGAAGCUGUCAUCGUAAUGGAAAUUCAUUGCUGUAGCUAUGGUAAAUCGAGUUUUCUGCCUGUGCUGAAUGCAUUAGUCUAAUGAGAUGUUUGCAGCCGGAGAGCAGGGCUGCUGGAGACUAACUGUGAGCUCCUAACACACGGGUGGAAGAUUAGCUUUUGCAAUACUCGGUUUGGGUGUACUGAAAGUCAUCUGUCUUCUGAGUCAACAUUCCCGGCCUGGUAAAGAACCAGAUCAGUGCUCUGGUGAACGAGCUGUAGGUUUUCUCGGUUGCAUGCCUCCGUCUCCGGCAAUGCACGAGUGUCCUGAAGUAAAACCACUGCGGCCGGCAGCACCUCUUCUGCCUGUGAGCGAUUUGUCACUUCCUUCUGUAAGACUGGCACCAGCAGACAUGCAGUCUCAGAGGAUCCCGGGGAGGAAGCGAGGCCGACCCCCACUUCACUCAACACCUAUGAAGAUGGCAGUUCAUAAUCUUUAUUCUGCUUCAGCUGGUUCUUUACCAGCAGUGAAGAUCCCAAAGAAAAGAGGGCGGAAACCCGGGUACAAGCUCAAGUCUCGGGUUCUCAUGACUCCUUUAGCCCUCUCCCCUCCACGGAGUACGCCGGAGCCCGACCUCAGCUCCAUCCCUCAGGAUGCAGCCACCAUACCCAGCUUGGGGGCCCCACAGGCUCUUACAGUCUGCCUCUACAUCAACAAGCAAGCCGACGCAGGGCCGUACCUGGAGAGGAGGAAGGUGCAGCAGCUCCCUGAGCACUUCGGGCCCGAGAGGCCAUCGGCAGUCCUGCAGCAGGCCGUGCAAGCGUGCAUCGACUGCGCCCACCAGCAGAAGCUGGUCUUCUCCCUGGUCAAGCAGGGCUAUGGUGGUGAGAUGGUGUCAGUCUCGGCAUCCUUUGAUGGGAAACAGCACCUGCGGAGUCUGCCCGUGGUGAAUAGCAUCGGGUAUGUCCUCCGCUUCCUCACCAAGCUGUGCCGAAGCCUUCUGUGUGAUGACCUCUUCAGCCACCAGCCCUUCCCCAGGGGCUCCAGUGCCUCCGAGGAAGCCCAGGAGACCAAGGAAGGCAGGAUGGAGCCAGCAAAAACAGUCAACACUGACGAGUGCCUGGUGAACCCUGUGAGCAUGAACCGCUACAGCGUGGACCCCUCCACCUCCGCCUUUAGCCACAGGGGCUCCUUGCCCACCUCCUCCUCGCUGUACUGCAAGAGACAGAACUCUGGAGAAGGCCACCUUGGGGGCCCAGCCACCACCACUGGUGGUCCUCGUACCAGCCCCAUGUCCUCUGGAGGCCCCUCAGCACCUGGGCUGAGGCCCCCAGGCUCCAGCCCCAAGAGAAACGGGACCUCUCUAGAGGGAAACAGAUGUGUAGCCCUGACAGGCUGCAGCGAUGAGCUAUUGUGUAUGAUCCAGGAUCUCCCACACGCUCCCCAGAAGAGCCUCAGCCAUCCCAGACCAGCCUCUGCUGGCUGCGACUGGAGAGGACCAUUGGCCAGGAGGAAGAUGUGAGUGGGCAGAGCCCAUUUUCCAGAGGGGAGAGACAUUGUUCCAUAUGAUUUCUAAGAACAAGAGAAAGGAACAAGAUCUGGCACAAACCAACAUCUUAAAGUAAAUGGGGGUCAGCAUUUAUUUCCUAGGUUUAUCCCCAAAGUUAGCAUAAUUUCUGGCAUAUAGUAGGUGUUCAAUAAACGCUCAUUAUCUCUGUGCCCCUCCACCCCACUCCACAGUGCCCAGUGUCCUCAUGUUGCCCCUGGUUGUCAAAACUCUCAUCCUCACGUCCCAUUGCCCUUUACAUGUCUCUUUCUCUCAACCUCCUCUUCUCAGCCCAAUUCCCAUUUGCUCAGGGUGGUGAUCACAGGACACCACAGUGAUGCAGUUGACUCACAAUCCUAAGAGUGUUGCCAUUUUUCAAAAAGGAGAUAUUUACUCACCGUCCCUGUGUCUUAAGUAUAGGGUUUCAAGCAGUAGGAAGAAGACACAAUUUGGGUGGAGAGGACAUCUAUCACUUGCUGAAGAAUUGUCUUUUCCAUCCCAGUCCAUCUGGUGCCCCUGGAUGAGGGGGAAUCCAGGACCUUCAAAGGUGUCUCAAGGUCACUCCCCUCCCCAGUCCUUCCUGCCUCCUUCCAGUGAAGCCCUGGGAUGCCCUCCCAUCCCAGAUUCAGCAACCCUCCUGUCCCUCAUUUUCAUUUUCUCCCCAGCCCUUUGUUCUCUUAUUUAGAAUUAGACCCUGUUCAACUGUCUGAGUAAUCUGUCCAACAGGAGGCCCAGACCCUCACUGGGAACCAGUUCUGAGAAAACCCUCUCUGGCAGAGCCCUGGUUGCACCCCAGAAGAGCCCCACUAGCUGAGGACUUCUGCCUCUCAGGAUCUGGGGUGAGAUAGAGAAACGGAGCCCACCAGUGCCUGCUGCCUUCCACUCUAAGCAAACCCCUAACUGUAUCCUGAAUGCUGAUUAUCUCUUUACAGAUUAGAAACAUUAGUGAGAACUUUGCCUGACACCCUGAAAAUGAGAGUUGUUCAUAACCAGUAGGACCCCACAGGGCUGUGGGACGUUCAGAAUCACACAGCCACUCAGUCUUCUUGGAAUAAAGCUGCUGAGGGAUGUAACAGUGGAAGUUCAUUGCUGAGCCUUUGUGAUACACUGAAGAAGAAUGAAGCUAUUCCCCCUUCAUAGGUGCAUUGACUCCUUAAUGCUCCAAAGAUUCCUUUUAACCAGUCAGGGCCUUCUUCAGGGUGCUCAACAGAACCACAGAUACUGGAAAGAGCCAGCCAACCAGGCACGUUCUCAGCAUCAAGAUGGCAGAAGAGGGUGGGGAGAAUAAGAGGACAGAGGGCAGUGCUGGCAUCAUUUUCCACUUCUUCUUACAUCUCAUUGGCUGGAAUUUAGUCACAUGGCCACUAGCUGCAAGAGAAGCUGGAAAAUAUGGUUUCAGUUCUAACCACCCAUGAUCCCAGCUGGAAAUCAGGAAUUCUACUACAAAGGAAGAAGUGGACAAAAGAUAUUGGGGAGACCACUGGCAGGCUCAACCACUCCUCCUCAUUGGAAAGUUUCUUCCCCUCCUGUUUCCUCCCAUGGCACUUGUUUCCUCAUCUCUAGUGCAUCCUCUCUCCUAGGCCAUUGCAGGAGCCGGACUCUCAGCUACAUGAGGUCUGUUGCUCACGUUUGAAUCCUCCACAGCCCCAGAAAAGGGGCCUGCUUGUUUGAGGCAUAUACCAAAUAGCUAUUUAUUAAGCACCUACUAUGGGCCAGACAUUUUCCACACAUUAUUUAUGACAUAAUAUGAGUUAUACUUUACAAUUUAUUAUUAUAGUAGGUGUAUAUUAUUACACGGGGUAUUAUUAUAUUCGAUUUACAGAUAAAGAAAGUGAAGAUCAAGAGAAGGUCAGUCAAGUAUUCGUCCAGGAUUUGACUUCAAUUGCCCCAAAAGCUUGUGUCUUUCAAAACUACCCCAGGGAUUUUCAAACUAUGCUCAGUGGGCUUUGAGGGGCCCCUCUGCAGUUCUAGGAGACGGGGAAGAGGGGAUGGGAGCAGACAGGACCCCAACGCCCCACCCUCUUUAAGCAGGGCCUCUUCACGGUUGCAGGGUGGGGUUCUCUGUCUGCUUUGCCUGAACAAAGUUUGCACAGUUAAAUACAUUUGGAAGUCGUGGAGAUAAACCACGCUGAACUGAGCGGCAGUAUAUUAGAGUAGGAGAGAAAAUCACUGGCCUCCUUACCCAUUUGUCACCUGGCUGCCAGUCAGGGUGCCUGCUGUGGACCCUCUGGAGGGCUAUUAAGUUUUCCUUCCGCCCAAAGAAGUGCUCAGUAUUGCUCUGAAAUUGCAUCCCAAGUGAAAGCAGUUGGUAUUAAGAAACCAUACCUCUUUAAGAGGGUUUGACCCAAGUCAUAAACCCUGGAAGGAACCUAGAAAUGGAUUUUCCCCCACGGUGCUAAUCAAAAUAGUUUAAAACCACAGAAGCCAGAAAGCUGCAUGAGGCUGCAGGAAGGAGGGGCGGUGUCGGUGACAUGACAAACUUCUCAGCCUUCUCUUCUGUGAAUGCUUACCCUGGCCUCCUGCUGUCUUGAUGUGUUGUACCUGCUGCCUCAGCCAGUGGAGUCUGAAGGGAUGUAUUCACAGGACACAUUUCCCUGGUUUUUGCUGAUACUCAGGUGAAAAUUCGAGAGCUCUUCCCUGUCUCUCAUUCAAGAUAUAAUCACCUAGAGCUAUAAAGAGGUUUUGGAUAGCAAAAGCUUCCUGAUUUUUGCAUUUAACAGGAUGUGCUGUAGAAUUCCCAACCACAACCAGGUCCAAGCUUCAGAAUCAAGAUACAAAGUAAAUCUGACAUUGUCGUUGCCACCCAAGUGUUUCCCAUGGGUUGGACUUUGCUUCUAUAGGGUAUGGCAUUGGGUGAUGGAUAGUCUUCUUAGCCAGAAAAAGAAGAAUGGAGACAGUGCUGUCUGUGAGGCAGGUGGAAUGAAAAGGUGUGGCAAGGGUUUCUUUAUGCUGGGGAAAGAAAAUAGGUUGAGCAGGGAUGCUGGGGGAAAUCAUGUUGGGAGAUUGGGGUCCAUGUCAUGUAUAUUGGGCUUUAGUCUGUGGAAACCAGACAUUUCUGAACAGGGAAGUGAGCUGAUGGCCACAGGAUAUAGGAAGAUAAAUGUAUUGGUGAUUAUGGAAUGACGUAUGAUAAGAAGAAGAAGAAUAGCAACCACCUUUUGAUUAAUUCUUACUGUUUAAUGUUUCACAUGAUUCCAUUUAAUCCUCCCAACAUGGUAGGUGUUUGACAGGUGAGGCAACUAAGAUUCAGAGAGAUUUGGGUCAGUCCGUGCCAGCAGAUACCUACUGAGCACAAUAUGCUAGGGGCUCGUCUCAGGUCUAAGGAUGGAGCUGUGAGCAAGAGAGGUGUGGGCCCUGUUCUCUCACAGUGUGUAAUUCCAAAGAGACGAACGUUAAUAACAAAUGAUAUUGCACAAACUUACAACCAUGACUAUUGCUCCAAAGGAAAAGAAUGGAUGCCGUGAGAGAAUCAGAUCUGAGAACCCCUCCCUCAAGGAGGGAGUCACUGAGCCUACUCUGACAAGUCAGGAAAGGCUUCCCAGAGAAGUGACAGUGGCGCCACCUGGAAGGCGAAGCUCAGCAGGCGCAGUGGGGAAAGGGGUGGCUGGAGGCUUCCUGGCAGAGGUCAGAUUGCCUGCCCAGAAUUCACAGUGUCUCUGGUGGCAGAGAAGGAAUCCAGCCCAGCCUGGCCUCAUUUCAAGCCUGUGGUCUCUCCUUGUCUCUAAAGACAUCCUUUCUUCUGAUGCAGGCAUGUCAGCUUUGAAGGAAUAAAAGAAAAACCUGAAUAAAAUCUAAGGAUUGGUCAGGCUCUCUUCUAUCUCCCAUCUCUCUCACCUCUUAGUGUCUUGAAAAUUAUUGGACUAGAAAUAAUGAAAAACACACUGUUUCAAACUAUCUGAUGUUGCCCAGAUUGUGGGCUAGCCUGGGCACCUCACACACUCUAUAUGGCCUUGUUUCUAGGAUGGAUACAUCCUGCAGGGACCAGGUUGCUCAGAGGAGCUGAGAACAGAUCUACCCUCCCCUUGCCUUCACGCCCAUUGCCUCCCAACGCAGCUCCAGCUGCCAGAGAGGCUGAGAGGGCGAGGGACUUACAGUUGGCCUGAUGAAGGAUACGGAGGGGUCACUCUUGGAGGCUGACGGGCUUCCCUUCUAGAUGCCAAUUGUCAGGCUCCAGCCCAAAGCCACAUAGUCACUUGAUUCCUUCAAUACUCCUGAGAAACAAGACAAAGAAACCGAGGCCCAAAGAGCAUGAUCAGGGCCCAGAAGGGGCUAGAAGCCUGGCUGUUGGCUUUUUGUUCAGUGUGCUUUGCACACGGACUCAGUGUGAAAAGGUAACUCCUUUCGUGUUGCACAGGACAGCCUGUGGUGUGAAGGGACCGUCCAGCAUCACAGGUGGGAGGGCGGGACCUUAGCGACCCCUCCCAACUGCCUUAUUUCACGCUGGAGAAGCACAAAGACGCUCACAUAGCUGGUGGCAGGGAGGGAUUUCUGACUCCCAGCUCAUUGCUCACUCCAUUCUUCCACACAACUCUGCUGUUAGCUAAAAAGUUGUCUCUGAAUUACAAACGAGCAAAGGAAAUUAUGUGUGUGCUUGUGGGUGUAUGUGAGACCAAGACAGACUCACGGAGGGCAGUACGAGUACCUGUGCUGUGAAAUUGACCCAGAUUGCUUUAAACACUGAGUCAUAGUCAUCCUAUUCUUGAUGAAUGUGAGUUCAGCUUUAGAAACAACAACCACUCUCUUUAAUUACACAUCCAUUCACAACUGGGUGUCACUUUUCACAUGUCUCUGGCAGCCCGGUGAACACAUAUGACAAUACACAAAGUUCUCCAUGCUCGAGAAUACCGCCUUCCCAGAAGGGCGUUGGGCGAGCGCUUUGCAUGCUCUGUUCCUUUAGGAGCAACAUUUUUUCACAUCCAUCAUGUCUUACCGCUGUCCAGUCACAUCUGCCUGGCCUGGUGGUGUCAGAAGGUGUCUUCCUGACACCUUCACAGCAGCUGGAGGGGGCCAGUGUCGUUAUUAUCGUUGUGAGCACAGACCACUGCAAAGGCUUUACAAACCUGCCACUGGAAAGUCUCAUUUCUAGAGCGAGUUUACGUGCUUUGGAUCUUGAGCCACUAUGGAGGCGUGGCAGGCUCCCUGCAGCUCUCUGUCUUGUAUGACUAAAGGACCCCCUCAGAGAGGUUCUUGAGCCGAGCCCGGCUGCUGCUGCUCCGUCCUGGAAAAGUGAAAAAUGCCCAGAGCAAGCACCAGGCAUCAGGAGCGAAGCCACUUUCCCGACUGGGCUGUCUCCCUCCGCAGCCAUCACCCGGAGAGCUCCUGCAUAAAGACACAGCAGCCCCCUUGCUCAGCCCCAAAAUGAUUGUGGCUGAUGGGAAAGUACUUCUUUGACCUGGCGGGAGGGAACUUGGGCUCCCGUGGGUGGUGCUGCGAAUCGGUCUGGUAUUCUUCCUUCCCAUCAAACACAGGAAAUUAGAUUUGACCUCUGCUCUGAUCACUCUAAAAUCAUUCUAGUACUGAAGACUUCCAGCCUUUGUAAUCAGAGCAUCUAUUAUCACCCUGAUUAACGCCGACGCUCCGAUGGAGUGGAAUCCAAAGGCGAACGCGAUUCCCGUGACUCCUCGUCCGCACGUUGAAGGCAGAUGUCUUCAAAUGCAGUGAAAUCAUCUCUAAUGGGCGUGCAUCAGCAUUCAGCUGGCCACAGGGUGCCCUAACAGUUUCCCAGCAAAAUGACCCAUGCCAAACCACCCCAGGGGACCCCUCCAGGUCCAACAAGGAAGAGGCAGGGAAAAUCGCAAAGUAAAUCCGAUUCUCGACCAAACCAUUAUGUAUGUAGGACAGACUCAGAAAUGCAAGGCUGUGCUUUUCUCAGCACCAAUGGAGAACUGCAAUUCUCAAGCACAUUGAAAAAAAGGAAAACAGAGAUGGCAGAAAACUGCUGCACCCUGAGACUAGAAGGGAAAAGGAAGUGACGGCUUCUCAACUUCCACCUCAGAAUUAUUCCGGAGGGAAGCUGCCUCGGUGCUCAGAGCCUUGGCUUUUUCUGGCCUGAAAAUGGGAUUAAGAAUUAUCCAUACAUAAGUUAUUUGUACUGUUUCUGCAAAGCAUAUUGAUUCAUUUAGCAUUUAUCGAACUCAUAUUUACAAACGUAUUUACUUAGAGCCAUGGAGGAGCCAAUGAUUAUAACCCUUGUGAUGAGAGGAUCUCAUUUUUCGCCACUUUGCCCAGUACACUGUACAGAGAGAUGCUCAGUAGAUGUUCGUGGAAUGAAUGAGAGGCAGACGAAAAUGAUCGUGGUGAGUCCAUUCCGACUCCUAGCGACCCUGUGCACAGCAGAACAGAAUCCUGUCUGGUCUUUUUUUGCCAUCCUCUCACCUUUCUGGCACUGUAUUAGACAGUGCUCAGCUGCUAUUCAUAAAAUCCUCAAGAAAUUGAAAUCCAGCUGGAGGUUGCAGACAAGUACAUGCAUAAUUGUAAUAUGCGGAACAUAGGAAGCAUCUUAAAGGAAGAACAAAGAUUUGGGGGUUUAAGGUAGAGGAAGGUGGCAUCCAGAUGGCAGGACACAGAAAUGCUGCCUGUGAAGGGGUCUACCUGGGCUUUCACAGCCAGCGGAACCUCUGUGGAAAGGAGGAAGGGUAAACGCCUUCUAGAGAGAGGCACAGCUAAAGGAAGAGAGCCAGCCCUGGUGGUCCAGUGGUUAAGAUUCGGUGCUCAGGUCACAACCAGUGUGCCCAGAUCGGGCUGUGCAGCAGGGCAGGGGAGGCAGGCAGGGUGCCAGGCGCCUCCUUCCCUCUGUGGAGCACCUGAUGCAGGUCAGCCAUAGGGCCAGGCCCAUUUCCGUCCUCACACCUGCCCUUCCAGGUGGAGAGCAUUGCCAUUUUACAGCUAAUGAGCUGAGUCAUGGCCAAAUCGCUAGCAAAGGGCAGCUUCAGGGUUUGUCUCAAAGCCCUUCGGCUCCAUGUAGGAAGGAAAAAGGGUCCUUGACAUUGAGCUAUGGACUCAUUGCACAGGCAGGGGGCAUCCAUGAGGAGCUGAGUGGAGGGAGAGCACGAGGCAGUGGCAGUUUUGCUCCAGAAGGAAAGGAGCCCAGGCAGGGAGACCCAUUAGAAAACCACUGCGGGGCUUUGGGAGAGAGGUUCCCGGAUUGGGGCAGGGCUGGAAGCGAGGAGAGCGGUGUGAGAGGCAUCCUUCCAAGAGCUUCAGAAGACUUGAAUGUGAGGAGCGAAUCAGGCGCAGGAGGUAGAGACAUCACAGAGGUUUCAGAAACAUGAGAGAGAGGAGGAGAAGCUGGUUCUGGAGAAAGAGGAGGAGUUAGUUUGGGACAUAGAAAAAAACGUCACCUCUAAAUAUUGCCGGGCAUCUGAUUCAUUACUCUCCUCCUCUCUCACUUGUCCGGCAUCUUUUAAUCUGCCGUGUGGGAAACGCUUUAUGCCACAGUGCAACUCAUGCACCAAUCAUUUCUCAAGGACAAGCUAUGGAUCAGGCACAGGAUUAGGCCCUUUGCUGUCCAGUGGGGAGAUUGGAGUAAGUGCUCUCCAGACCAGAGGCAGUGGAGGCACUCGGUGUGUACCAGGGGUGGUGAGUGAGAUGAGGGCUUCUUUCUGCACAUGCGGAGCAGGGAAUGGACCCCUCACAGACUGGGCUUCCAAGGACGUGGCAUCAGAGACCCAGAUGGAGGACCAAAAUGCACCUCAAUUCUGCCGCGUCUUUAUUGUCUCAGUGUAACGCCAGUGGAGGCAGAAAGGACUCGAAGUCAUUUUGGCCUCAUAACUCUAGAAAGACCUGUUUGGACAUUCAUCUUAGCAAGCUUUCUCUGGUCACCAAGUAUCUGGUUAUAGGAGGCCCAGGACCCACUGAGACAGAACUCAGCAAAGGGGUCUUUAAAACUGUAGCGUGAAUCAGAAUUUCAGCUGUUGAGGGAGGUCCGUUUUCUAAUGCUUCGUUCCCUGGGAGAGCAGAGAGCUUUUGCAUAGAUGGGGAGGGUCUGCCUCCAGGAGUGGCCUCCCGUGCUCCAGGCCCCUGACGAGAGGAGCCACUCACAGCCUUCCUCUGUCACAGGAGGUCGCUCAGGCCACCAUCUUGGACUUGAGGGCCAGGUGGGAGCAGGCAGCACCAAGUAGGCGCUGAGGCCCUUUUCCCAGUGUCUGAUGGCUCCCCUCUCUGUCCUCACCCAUCCAGCCUCAAGCCCUUCUCCAGACGGGCAGGACGCCAGGCGGCCGAGGAGCAGGAACCCCUCCACCUGGACCGUGGAGGACGUGGUCUGGUUCGUGAAAGACGCCGACCCACAGGCUCUGGGGCCUCACGUGGAGCUCUUCAGAAAGCAUGAGAUUGAUGGCAACGCACUCUUGUUGCUGAAGAGCGACAUGAUCAUGAAAUACUUGGGCCUGAAGCUGGGACCUGCGCUGAAACUCUGCUACCAUAUUGAUAAGCUGAAGCAAGCCAAGUUCUGAAGGUUUUGGAAAGAUUGAAGCAAAGUCCAGACAAGAGAUCUCAAGAUCAUCUUCUGCCUUACCCACACCCGGCCACCAUCUCAAAGUAGAUUCUCUUCUUAAAAAUAACAGCCACAAAGACUUGGUCUUUUUAUAAAACUUGUGCGUCUUUGCCUUUAAAAAAAUUCAACAUGGCCCUUUUGAAAGGCUCCUUUGUGUUAAUGAUUUGCCAAAAAAUUGCAAAAAAACCCCACCAACCCUAUUGUUUUUAACAUCCCAGAUAGGUUGGUUGCUCUUAGAGUGGGUCCUAUUUUUAUAACGAGAGAGUGGGGAACUGAUUGUUAUCGCUCAAGGAGAAGGAUGAGAGAAGGUGCGAAAAGGACCUUUGUCUCUGAGGCUCCUCAGGGACGCCCACCGCAGCAUCACCUGUCUGUGCCGCUGACCCGGGGACCUAUCAUUGUGAGCCUCGCUUGAUUCAGCUCUGGAAGCUGUCUUCUGAGGACAAAUGCCUCACCUUGCACUAUCUGGAAAACUUGAAUUCUUUUGCUCUCUGAAAGAGAAGAAAAAUCUUUUCUGUUCUUAGUUAUCUGAAGUACUGUGUCGCCCCACUAGAGGGCAGACUGCUAAUGAAUUUUGGAGACCCUCGCUGCAGUAGCCUGGUAGUUCGGUACUCGGUGGCUGGGUUAGGGUUUCUGUGAACAAGAUCUAGCUCACACAGACAUAGGGAAUUUAUUCCACAGUCAGCACCACAGAUUGCAACUUGGGAAGAAACUGUCUUCUAGAAGGUUCUAGUUCAUAUCCAAUCGUUAUUGACUGACUGAGACGUACAUGCAGCUAAGGCAAGAAUUUGGAAGUACAUUCUUCCCAGAUGGGGCUUUGGAGCUCCUUCCCUUCCAGAGUCCUUACUGAGGUGUCGAUGUGCUGGCACGCUGAAGAGUCUUGGUGACAUUUAUCCAUGAGUUUUUCUUUAAAAAAGAGGAAGAAAAAUGUCUCAACUAAGCUUUGAAAUGGGAGAGUGUUGAUUUCUAGUUACAUUGCUGGAUUAUGUAGUUGUAUCUGUGGCUAAUUUUUCUAGUCCUCAACAAAUACACAGACAUGCUCUUAUUGGGUUUAAUUCAAUUUACAAAUAGGUUUUCCUUCCUCACUGUGGCGUAAUAGAAAAAAAUUGAUUUUCUACCCCUCUGCAGCUGUGUACAGGGAAGGACGAUGAAUCCACAAUUCACUAGGCAGAAGGGCAAUCUUGUCUCCCUUCUUUUUAUCUUUUCCCUUUCUCUCUUUCCCUCUGUCCUUUUUUCUUUCUCUCUCAUUCAUCAGGAAACAUAUCUUCAAAAUGAAUUCAGCUUUGCCAUGGGCAUAUCCUCUUCCUUAAAAAACAUCCAUAGAGUUGGAGGUGAGGAGAUGAAUACUAGCCUUUGUGAUCUCUGGGAGAGUGAGGAUCAAAAGGAAACUCAGGACCUCCCUUGGCCCAAAUGCAGAUUAGAAUACACACACCUUCCUCCGGGAGGCAGCCUGAGCAGGGGUCUCGGCUGGUGAGUGGAGCAGGGUGGGACUCAGCUCCCUCACCCCUCAGCUGGGUGCCCUUGUGCAGGACACGACCUGUACCAACUCGAGGGCAGCCCUGGGUAGAUUUGCAUAUUGAUCCUCUGUAAGUCAGUUAGAACUUAGACGAAGAUGAUAAAUAUUUCACACCCUGCUGUUAGACCUGCUUUGAGGAGCAAUAUUUGAGAAAGCACAUCACAGCAAAAGCCUUUUUAGACACACAAAUAGUGGCUGGACUUCAGGCAUGACAGAGAAGGAAAGGAGGAGAAAGUCCUAAACCUUCCACAGAAUUGAGCCUGAGUCGUCUGGUUGGAAGGGCUUAAUGUCUGCUGGUUUUGGCCCCUCACCAAACGGCCCUGAAUCAGGGCUUGGGAAAGAGUCUAAAAGAUUCUGAAGUGAUAAAUGGACUCUGUCCGUCAAAGUUUGAUAAUUGUAAGUGCUCACUGCUGGUCUGGAAUGAGAUCAUCUCACUCAAAAAGCCAUGGAUACUUUAUGUCGUCAGAACUGCCAGUGUGAAAACAGUGAGGUCCAGAAAACGCCAGGACAGCCCAGGUUUCUCACGCCGCUAUUUUUGCUAAAUGCUAGAACUUGUGGCGCCUCUUCCACCAGCGUGUGUCUUGUUUAGAGUCUUGAAGAUCUUCCUACCCAGCCUCACUAAUGGCUCCCUCACCGCAAAAACCUGAACCUUCGUGCCCCCAAAUUAAAAUCGUACUCCAACAUCGAAGAUAUUUUGAGUAGUUUUCAAGGGAGAGAUACUUCCCCAUCUCAAGUCUAAGAGAAAACUGGAUCCGUGUUCCUGUGGAACUGUCUCACAGAGGUGCUAUCUCAUUUUGCAUUAAACUUUAAGCGGGACA